rnacentral:tRNA from 1 species
GGGUGCAUAGCUCAGUAGUGGAGCGUGUACAUAGCAUGCACAAGGUCCUGGGUUCAAUUCCCAGUGCCUCCA